rnacentral:rRNA from 1 species
GACGAACGCUGGCGGCGUGCUUAACACAUGCAAGUCGAACGGAAAGGCCCGCUUGCGGGUACUCGAGUGGCGAACGGGUGAGUAACACGUGGGUGAUCUGCCCUGCACUUCGGGAUAAGCCUGGGAAACUGGGUCUAAUACCGGAUAGGACCGCAUCGUAGGUGGUGUGGUGGAAAGAUUUAUCGGUGCAGGAUGAGCUCGCGGCCUAUCAGCUGGUUGGUGGGGUAAUGGCCUACCAAGGCGUCGACGGGUAGCCGGCCUGAGAGGGUGGACGGCCACAUUGGGACUGAGAUACGGCCCAGACUCCUACGGGAGGCAGCAGUGGGGAAUCUUGCACAAUGGGCGGAAGCCUGAUGCAGCGACGCCGCGUGGGGGAUGACGGCCUUCGGGUUGUAAACUCCUUUCGCCAGGGACGAAGCCGUGAGGUGACGGUACCUGGAUAAGAAGCACCGGCUAACUACGUGCCAGCAGCCGCGGUAA